UCCGCAGUAAUGACCUACAAGAUGAUGAUUGGACAAUAAAUUCAUUGCCCCAGUAUUCUAUGCCAAACCUCAAGGUAGUUCUAAUACGAAAUUUUAUUGGUCGCAAAGUGGAGCUGGACGUGGUAAAAUUCUUCUUGGCCAAUGCUGAAGUUCUUCAAACACUGACUAUCAUGAUUUCUAUACAUUUAUCGAAAGACUAUAAGAAGCAAACACAGAUUGCAUCUGAAUUGCUUAAGUUCCCAAGAUAUUCCGCAAGUUGUGCGCUUCAGUUCAUGACCCCGGAGUAGUAUCUAGGGAGAACCGCUUGGACCAUGAGUAGUAGGAUCAGAGGGGGGGAAAUCGGGACCACGAGAUGGAGGAGUACCAGGAGUGUUUGAAGGAGGUGGAGGUGAUUGACGAGGAGCAGGUGGUGAACCGCCACUAGUAGGAGGCCUACGAGGAGAACGGCGGCCUCCUGAGCGUGAUGGGUCUGUAGAGCUAACAACAAUCUUGACCUUCAGUCCUGAGCUGCAAUGACCUUGAGCUCCACAGAUGAAAUACCUAGUGCCCGGAGUGUCAAGCGUUACAGAGGUGUAAUUUCCAUUGGUCAAACUGAUCGGGUUGGCCGAAUCACACGCUUCGUAUGCAAGCUUGUUCACUUCAAGCACACUGUGAACUGGCUUGUACAUAAACUCUGCAUGUAAACGGUCAAAGAGCUUGAGCAAGUAUAAUUCAGAAACAUUAGUUUUUCUUAAUUCAAUUAUAAAUC